GAUGAACGCUGGCGGCGUGCCUAAUACAUGCAAGUCGAGCGAACAGACGAGGAGCUUGCUCCUCUGACGUUAGCGGCGGACGGGUGAGUAACACGUGGAUAACCUACCUAUAAGACUGGGAUAACUUCGGGAAACCGGAGCUAAUACCGGAUAAUAUAUUGAACCGCAUGGUUCAAUAGUGAAAGACGGUUUUGCUGUCACUUAUAGAUGGAUCCGCGCCGCAUUAGCUAGUUGGUAAGGUAACGGCUUACCAAGGAGACGAUGCGUAGCCGACCUGAGAGGGUGAUCGGCCACACUGGAACUGAGACACGGUCCAGACUCCUACGGGAGGCAGCAGUAGGGAAUCUUCCGCAAAGGGCGAAAGCCUGACGGAGCAACGCCGCGUGAGUGAUGAAGGUCUUCGGAUCGUAAAACUCUGUUAUUAGGGAAGAACAAAUGUGUAAGUAACUAUGCACGUCUUGACGGUACCUAAUCAGAAAGCCACGGCUAACUACGUG
rnacentral:rRNA from 1 species